UACGUAGGGGGCUAGCGUUGUCCGGAAUCAUUGGGCGUAAAGAGCGUGUAGGCGGCCCGGUAAGUCCGCUGUAAAAGUCAAAGGCUCAACCUUUGAAUGUCAGUGGAUACUGCCGGGCUAGAGUCCGGAAGAGGCGAGUGGAACUCCUGGUGUAGCGGUGGAAUGCGCAGAUAUCAGGAGGAACACCAGUAGCGAAGGCGGCACUCUGGGCCGGUACUGACGCUGAGGAGCGAAAGCGUGGGGAGCGAACAGG
rnacentral:rRNA from 1 species